ensembl:lncRNA
GGUGCAAAACCCCACCUGGACACUCAUUGGCCACUUCUUGCUCCUUUUAUAUUGACAUUUUUGUCAUUUAACAAAUGCUUUUAUCCUGAUUUACAAAAAGGAAAUGAAAGAAGGAAGAAACAAUGUUUAAUCUUCACUCAACCAAUAAAACAUCACAAUAUGUCCUUCAUUCACCAUAGACAUCCUGGUGAGUGUGUGUGGUUGAUCUCACCAGCCUCAUGUAAAGCAGCCUCCCUCCUCUUACUGAUUGGAUACUGGGAUGUGGGUGAGGCUGCAUGCCUGUGGUGCAAUGAAGCCACACAGGUUGAACCAGCCGUCACUAGGGUUGGCCAUCGUUUGGAUUUUAACAAUUCUGAUUCAGAUUCUGAUUAUGCUUAUCGAUUUAGAUUCUGGAAUUUCUGAUUCUUUGAGGGGCGGGAAAAAAAAACGGACAGGUUGCCGUGGGUCGUAACCACGGUGAUAGCACGCCCCCUUCAUUCCUAAAAUUCUCAGCCCGAAAUGGGCUCAAUGGCACCUUCACUCUUUGGGUGCCUAAAUGUCGGGGUAUUAACCUCUGCGAUCACCACGUAACCAUCAUGUGCAUCUUCCCACGAACAAAAUAAGUUUGCACAGGUUUUGCAUCGUGCUGACACGUCAUUGUUAUUUACAUAAUGGAGCCAGGCCGAUUUUGUUGCCAGGGUGAAACGCCUGCUGUGGCAGUAAGCCCGAUUCCGACCCUGCAGUAAACCGGUUUUAUACACCACCAGCUGCUGUCAUGUUUGGGAGGAGCCCAGUGAAGACACCUAGGUGUCGGUGGUAGGGUCAACUUGCUACCAUCAUCUAGCAUACAAAUGUGCUGUGUGCUGACACAAUGUACAGACCACCUACUGGUCUUCUGUGUGUUGAGAUCACAUUUGCAGACUUAAGGGAUCAAGAAUGACCCAUGAAAGGCAUGAUGAGACGGACGACCAAAAAUGAUUAGAAAAAACAUGUUUUUUAACAAUAAGAAUUGUAUUCUCAAGUCUAAGCAAAAACAAAAAUUAAGCAAAAACAAGUGCAAAUAAAACAAAUAGCUUAUGACAGGUGAAAACACAUGAACAGGUAAACACAGGCAUGUCUAUCUGUCAAGCUGGCAGUCAGUAUCCAUAGCAGCAGCUAGAGUUCUCGCAACAAAAUUGUAAUUGAUUAUAAUUAUUUGGUUAAUGAUGUAUCAAAGUACUUUUUUCUUCUGAAGAUGAUUUCACCAAUAUUGAUACAUUUAUAAUUAGUGAG